CUGCCGUAUUUAACACGGCACCAGAAAUUAUGUUGAUUGCAGGACGCCUUGCUCUCCUUCUGGCUUUCUUAUCCUGUGCUCAGUCUGAGGUGGUGUUGGCUCAGAAAGAAUCAGAGACGGGGUUCGCCGGACAGUCGCUGAAACUGACUUGUAAAACCAGCGGUUUCAAUCUGAAGGACUAUAGUAUGCAUUGGUAUCGCCAAAGUCCUGAAAAGAGCCCACAGUGGUUAGUUCACUAUUACAGUGAAAGCGUCAGCAAUUAUCAUCCAGAGAUCAGAGAACGAUUUAUUGCUUCCAAAGACCUUUCAAACAGUAUCUUCGCUCUGGAUAUCAAGACACUUAAAAUGUCAGAUGGUGCGACAUAUUAUUGUGCACAGCAACACAUGCCUAAUUAUGGAUAA